rnacentral:rRNA from 1 species
UAGAGUUUGAUCAUGGCUCAGCAUGAACGCUGGCGGCGUGCCUAACACAUGCAAGUCGAGCGAUUCUCUUCGGAGAAGAGCGGCGGACGGGUGAGUAACGCGUGGGUAACCUGCCCUGUACACACGGAUAACAUACCGAAAGGUAUGCUAAUACGGGAUAACAUAAGAAAUUCGCAUGUUUUUCUUAUCAAAGCUCCGGCGGUACAGGAUGGACCCGCGUCUGAUUAGCUAGUUGGUGAGGUACCGGCUCACCAAGGCGACGAUCAGUAGCCGACCUGAGAGGGUGAUCGGCCACAUUGGAACUGAGACACGGUCCAAACUCCUACGGGGGGCAGCAG